AGAGUUUGAUCAUGGCUCAGAUUGAACGCUGGCGGCAGGCCUAACACAUGCAAGUCGAGCGGUAGCACAGAGAGCUUGCUCUCGGGUGACGAGCGGCGGACGGGUGAGUAAUGUCUGGGAAACUGCCUGAUGGAGGGGGAUAACUACUGGAAACGGUAGCUAAUACCGCAUAACGUCGCAAGACCAAAGUGGGGGACCUUCGGGCCUCAUGCCAUCAGAUGUGCCCAGAUGGGAUUAGCUUGUAGGUGGGGUAACGGCUCACCUAGGCGACGAUCCCUAGCUGGUCUGAGAGGAUGACCAGCCACACUGGAACUGAGACACGGUCCAGACUCCUACGGGAGGCAGCAGUGGGGAAUAUUGCACAAUGGGCGCAAGCCUGAUGCAGCCAUGCCGCGUGUGUGAAGAAGGCCUUCGGGUUGUAAAGCACUUUCAGCGGGGAGGAAGGCGUUAAGGUUAAUAACCUUGUCGAUUGACGUUACCCGCAGAAGAAGCACCGGCUAACUCCGUGCCAGCAGCCGCGGUAAUACGGAGGGUGCAAGCGUUAAUCGGAAUUACUGGGCGUAAAGCGCACGCAGGCGGUCUGUCAAGUCGGAUGUGAAAUCCCCGGGCUCAACCUGGGAACUGCAUUCGAAACUGGCAGGCUAGAGUCUUGUAGAGGGGGGUAGAAUUCCAGGUGUAGCGGUGAAAUGCGUAGAGAUCUGGAGGAAUACCGGUGGCGAAGGCGGCCCCCUGGACAAAGACUGACGCUCAGGUGCGAAAGCGUGGGGAGCAAACAGGAUUAGAUACCCUGGUAGUCCACGCCGUAAACGAUGUCGAUUUGGAGGUUGUGCCCUUGAGGCGUGGCUUCCGGAGCUAACGCGUUAAAUCGACCGCCUGGGGAGUACGGCCGCAAGGUUAAAACUCAAAUGAAUUGACGGGGGCCCGCACAAGCGGUGGAGCAUGUGGUUUAAUUCGAUGCAACGCGAAGAACCUUACCUGGUCUUGACAUCCACAGAACUUUCCAGAGAUGGAUUGGUGCCUUCGGGAACUGUGAGACAGGUGCUGCAUGGCUGUCGUCAGCUCGUGUUGUGAAAUGUUGGGUUAAGUCCCGCAACGAGCGCAACCCUUAUCCUUUGUUGCCAGCGGUCCGGCCGGGAACUCAAAGGAGACUGCCAGUGAUAAACUGGAGGAAGGUGGGGAUGACGUCAAGUCAUCAUGGCCCUUACGACCAGGGCUACACACGUGCUACAAUGGCAUAUACAAAGAGAAGCGACCUCGCGAGAGCAAGCGGACCUCAUAAAGUAUGUCGUAGUCCGGAUUGGAGUCUGCAACUCGACUCCAUGAAGUCGGAAUCGCUAGUAAUCGUAGAUCAGAAUGCUACGGUGAAUACGUUCCCGGGCCUUGUACACACCGCCCGUCACACCAUGGGAGUGGGUUGCAAAAGAAGUAGGUAGCUUAACCUUCGGGAGGGCGCUUACCACUUUGUGAUUCAUGACUGGGGUGAAGUCGUAACAAGGUAACCGUAGGGGAACCUGCGGUUGGAUCACCU
rnacentral:rRNA from 1 species